CAACGAUAAUAGCAAACCUAGUGAAAACUAGCGACGCAAAACUAUAGGGUCUUCCUUAGAUAUUCUAAGAUGAUAGCCAGUUACCGAA
rfam:Clostridium phytofermentans ISDg, complete genome.